rnacentral:misc_RNA from 1 species
AACUUUCGACAACGGAUCACUAGGCUCUUGCAUCGAUGAAGAACGCAGUAAAAUGCGAUAAGUAAUGUGAAUUGCAGAUCUCGUGAAUCAUCGAAUCUUUGAACGCACAUUGCGCCCUAUAGAAUUCUGUAGGGCAUGCCUGUCUGAGCAUCAUAAUAUCUACUCAGAUCUUUGAUUAUUUUAUAUAGUCUUGGAUUUGGAUUUAAUCAGAGAAGUAACCUAUAUGAGUAGAUUACUCUUUGGAAAAAUAAAGGCAGUUAUAGUGAAACCUAUAUUAAACGUGAUAUUAAAAAGUUUCGUUUUUAAGGACUACAUCUUGGACUUGCCUUUAACCCACUUAAUUCUUUUUGAUUGACCUCAGAUCAGGUAGGGAUACCCGCUGAACUUAAGCAUAUCAAUAAGGGGAGGC